rnacentral:snRNA from 1 species
AUACCUUUCUCGGCCUUUUGGCUAAGAUCAAGUGUAGUAUCUGUUCUUAUCAGUUUAAUAUCUGAUAUGUGGGUCAUCGACCCACUUGAUAUUAAUCUUAUUUUUUAAGGGGGAAGGCCCGUCACAGUAGCUUGCUGCUGGGGUCUUCAUGCGUCGCAUUGGUCUUACACUUUCACCGAGGCCUGGCGCACCCCUC